rnacentral:rRNA from 1 species
ACCCGCAGAAGAAGCACCGGCUAACUCCGUGCCAGCAGCCGCGGUAAUACGGAGGGUGCAAGCGUUAAUCGGAAUUACUGGGCGUAAAGCGCACGCAGGCGGUCUGUCAAGUCGGAUGCGAAAUCCCCGGGCUCAACCUGGGAACUGCAUUGGAAACUGGCAGGCUUGAGUACUGAAGAGGGUGGUAGAAUUCCAUGUUUGGCGGUGAAAUCCGUAGAGAUCUGGAGGAAUUCCGGUGGCGAGGGCGACCCCCGGGACAAAGGCUGUGGCUCAGGUGCGAAGGGGUGGGGAGCAAGCAGGAUUAGGUACCAGGGUAGUGCACGCCGUAAACGAUGGCGACUUGGAGGUUAUGCCCUUGAGACGUGGCUUCCGGAGCUAACGCGUUAAGUGGACCGCCUGGGGAGUACGGCCGCGAGGUUAAAACUCAAA